CCAGUGAUGUCAAGCGAAUUCACUGCCGGAAAAGUUGAAAUUGAUGCUCUAACACAAUGCCAAAAAAGUUAAAAUCGAAGAAACUUGUAUUGUUGCCGGGAGAAGACGAUUCUUGUAGUCGGCGCCGGAAGAGACAAUAAAGGUAUUAUUUUUGCCGCACCGGGAUGGAAUGAGCGUGAUCGAAAUAAAGAGGAAGGUUGGAGUUGAGUGGUCUCUUCUCCUCUCUCGUUCGUUCAAUUUUCCAAUUUUCCAUCUCCUAAUAAAAUACUCUCUCUUGUUCAUGCAGUUCAAACAAAUACACCCUCGAAAAUUGGAGCGCCAAACAGGAAACCCACUCCACCUCCCUCUUCUGUUUUUGUAUAUAGAUUUUUUUUUUUGGUUCUGUUCUUCUAUAAAUCAAUGGUGUUAGGAAAACCCUAGCUCUCCGUCUUUUCAAUGUAACCAAAAUCUCCUCCCCAAAUCUAGUACUAACACACUCCCGUCUCUUCUCCGUCGUUUGAAAACAUUAUCCCCACAAAUCCCGCCACCCCAACCUUCCGACGCGAUUUCCUCACCUCAACGGAUUCCUGCGAGAAUGGCUUUCCUUCAUAAGAGGUCAACCAGCAAUGUCGUCGGAGCUUCGUGCCAAUCGGAGAUAAGUUAAUGGAGAAGUUGAGAGGAAUGGGCGUAAACAAAGACCGUCUUCGAUUAGACAGUUUGAUUCUUCCAGUGACGUAGACGGAACCUAGGGAUGGGAUUUUGGUCGAAGACACGCGUAAAUUGCUUAGGCUAUCGCAGUUGCAAAAUGUUAAAGUUGAAAUUGAGACAAUCCUAAAGAGUUCUAUUCCAUAUUCGGAAUUUGUUCAGAUCUGUAUGAAAGGUUGCUCCAAUUGCGAUCAAGGUUUGGAGUUAGCGAAGAUGUUGGAUCAAUCUGGGACCAUUAUUGUUCUAGGUGAUUGCGUCUUCCUCCGGCCUGAAGAGGGUCCGCUGUAGGAAGUGAAGAGACUUCGAGAUGAAUUGUAUAACAAGAAGACAGCGAGGCAGCAGCGCGUGUUGGCAUCUUGGAUUUUGUUGAAGAUGUGACAUUAGAGCGAGUAUGUAGAUGGCCGAAGUGAUCGUCUAAUUCAAUGGUCGGAGAGUUUGGGCUUUGUUUCAAGAAGACAUUUUCAAAAGUCUUAAAAUGCAUGGGAGGUCACGUGACAUAUAUAACUGAUGGUCCUUUAACAAUAAGUACUAGAUUGUGCAUUUUAGAAAUU